rnacentral:rRNA from 1 species
GAUUAACGCUGGCGGCGUGCCUAAUACAUGCAAGUCGAGCGAACAGACGAGGAGCUUGCUCCUCUGACGUUAGCGGCGGACGGGUGAGUCACACGUGGAUAACCUACCUAUAAGACUGGGAUAACUUCGGGAAACCGGAGCUAAUACCGGAUAAUAUAUUGAACCGCAUGGUUCAAUAGUGAAAGACGGUUUUGCUGUCACUUAUAGAUGGAUCCGCGCCGCAUUAGCUAGUUGGUAAGGUAACGGCUUACCAAUGCAACGAUGCGUAACCGACCUGAUAGGUUGAUCGGCCACACUGGAAGGGAGACACGGUCAAGACUCCUACGGGAGGCAGCAGUAGGGAAUCUUCCGCAAUGGGCGAAAGCCUGACGGAGCAACGCCGAGUGAGUGACGAAGGUCUUCGGAUCGUAAAACUCUGUUAUUAGGGAAGAACAAAUGUGUAAGUAACUAUGCACGUCUUGACGGUACCUAAUCAGAAAGCCACGGCUAACUACGUG